UAAGGAAUAUUGGACAAUGGGCGCAAGCCUGAUCCAGCAAUGCCGCGUGCAGGAUGAAGGCCUUCGGGUUGUAAACUGCUUUUGUACGGAGCGAAAAGGUCUGCCCUAAUACGGUGGGCUCAUGACGGUACCGUAAGAAUAAGCACCGGCUAACUACGUGCCAGCAGCCGCGGUAAUACGUAGGGUGCGAGCGUUAAUCGGAAUUACUGGGCGUAAAGCGUGCGCAGGCGGUUAUAUAAGACAGAUGUGAAAUCCCCGGGCUCAACCUGGGAACUGCCUUUGUGACUGCAUAGCUAGAGUACGGUAGAGGGGGAUGGAAUUCCGCGUGUAGCAGUGAAAUGCGUAGAUAUGCGGAGGAACACCGAUGGCGAAGGCAAUCCCCUGGACCUGUACUGACGCUCAUGCACGAAAGCGUGGGGAGCAAACA
rnacentral:rRNA from 1 species